rnacentral:lncRNA from 1 species
CAGGCGCGUAGCAACCCGUACGCAAAAACGCAGCUGCGUACAAAUCGAAAAUUUCACAAAAAUAAAAAUAUGGUAAAUCUAGUAAGAACAAAAUUAAAGUAAUGAAGUUAAUAAAUCUAGUUAGUACAAAAUUAAAGUAAUGAAGUUAAUAAAAAAAAUAUACAAAUAUGUUAUAGAUCACUUUGUAGCUAUAUUCCGUUCCGAAAACUAGUCUUCCCUUUUCAUUUACGAAACCAGCAUAGUAAUUCUGUUGCUGAUGCAAACAAUUUAAAAUGGCUGAGUCCUCCGGGUGUCAAAACACAAUUGUUACGUCUUCUAUGCCUCCUUACCGUGACAUCUUUUCUGAAGAUUCCAAAAUAACUGAUGAAAUAAAAUAUGACAUUCUUAAGAGACCAUGGACAUCAAUUCAUUUUUAUGAAUUUCCUGUGAAGUAUGUAUAAGUCUUAAACAGUCUAGUCCAACUUAAGUUUAACGGGGGUGGUAAAGGGUAAUUUUCGUGCAACUGUAUUCACCUUUUUUUCAUUUGACGUUCAACGUGUUUUCACUUUUUUAAAUUUUAGUGCAAGACGGGUGCCUCUUUCGUUCAACAAGUUACAUGUUCCCAAAUUUAAAUAAAAGUACGUGUUUUUCAUGCUUUCAGUUUUAAAGUUUUUGUUUUCCGUAAUCCUAACUUGAUUUGAAUAAAAAAAACUUUUUUUCGCGAAGUACUGAUCCACCAUCCCAACCCCACCCUUUACUACCAUUUUUAACCUUUACUAACAAGCAAAUUUUUAGAAUU